AAAUUAUUUUCUCUAUUUUUUUUCUCUUCAAAUUCUAUAAAUGAAUUAUAGGCUUGUACCGAAUUUGAUUUUGAUCACAAUUAUGCUUAAUCUAUUUGAUCAAAUGCUUACAUGAAAAUUAUGAGUAAGUCUUUUUUUUUAUCAUUAUGGCUCUUCAUAUAUCUUUCUAGUUAUGAAACUGGUAAUUAAUUUUGUAUUUAUGUAUUUGUAGUUUUUGUUAUUUAUUUAUUUAUUUAUCUAAUAUUAUCUUUAUUAUUUAUAUUUUUGAAAUAAAUUAGAGAGUGAUCUGAAUUUUUAAGAAAACCACAGAAAUGUAAUAUUUGGAAGGUCUCUAAUUUGCGUCAAAAUUGUUUGGGGUUUGUUUAGAUCUUAGGACAUGGGUUUUUUAUUUUAUUUUCAUGGAGCUUGGUUGUUUAACAAUGGAGGUUGGGCUCACUUGGCCCAGUCCAAGGAACUUGUACUUCUAAUUUUCAUGGAGCUUUGUUGUUUUUAUAUAUGGAGUUGGGGUUUACUUGGUAUAGUCCAAGGAUCUAGAAAAGUUGCCUGAGGCUGAUAGUUUGGACAAUCACAUUUCAUUUCAGUGACAGCAAUGGCUUAGUUUUUUUAUACAAAGCUGAGAUGAGUCACCUUAUUAAGUCAAUAAACCAUGGAUCAAAUAUGGUAUUCUGUUUUCUGUACAAUAUUUGGUGGACUUUAUGGUAUUUUGCAUCACCUUGGUGAGAUCCGGACGUUAGGAAUGUUGAGAAGUAGAUUCCACACCUUGCCAUCAGCAUUUGAUGUUUGUCUGAUUC